rnacentral:lncRNA from 1 species
GUUGCUUAAUAGGCCCAGGGACAAAUCCUUUGAGGAAGGAAAAGCAACUCUGAGGCUAUAAUUGAGCCCCAGGAAUGCCAAAUGUAUAUAUAAUUAGACACUUAGGAAAAAGUCAAGGAGCCUCGUGUUUAUCGUGCUGGCUCCGUCUCCUGCGCUUUUGGCACUGUGGUUUCUCAGCUGAGCUUCAGGCAGUUGCCUGGGCUGUUAAAUAGCCCUCACCAGGACAAGCAGCUGAGGAAUCCCUGCAGCUCAUUCUGCACUGUGCCGCUGUCCUCAGGAGGACAGGUUUUGAUGACCUAGUCUGAUUACAGCAUCUUUGACAGCUUUAAAGGAAUUUGCUCGAGGGAAGGCGACAGCUGCUGCUCUGAUGAAGGAUUUUUCUGAGCAGGCCUCCCAAGCAAGACAUGUCAGGAUGAGAUGCUGCCUACGCUUUUCAUCACAACCAACAGGUUGUUAAACUGCAAUCAAAAGCACUUAGUAGGAAUGGAUCUGUCCCUAUUAUGAGAUUUGAACUCCUGACAUCUUUAUCCAGUGGAACUUGAGUGCCCAGGACACAACCAAGAGGGGAUUCUGAGAUCGUUUUUCAACCCCUGCGACUGUGAGCCAGUUGCAGCAUGAGGAAAAGCCCUCCAACACCCCAAUGUACAGGAAAGAGAAGACAGAUGACAGUAGCUGUCCUCCUUCAAUACUGAGGAAAAGGCCACCUGUGGACCAGGCUGUGGGGGAAAAGCGGAAAGCAGAGAGAAGGGUUCGAUUUCGUGAGCCGGAAGAAGUCAUUGAGCAUGUUAUUUCCUGCUGUGACUACGUAGUGGUACAUGACAGGUCUUCACCUGGAUUGCCUAUGCUCCUGGGGCUAUCAUUUUGUGUGGUACUGAUCCUGGCUGCAAGUCUCUUCUACACCAGCAUGAAGCAAGAUACCAAAGUCCUGGAAGAGUUUCAAUCCCGACUUGUUAUCUUCUUUCUUCAGAUAAGACACAUUGCUCAUAGAUGCUGGACCUGGUUUACAAGGUAGUAGCAAUGUCCUCCAUUUGCAGGAAGGCAGCACUGAUAAUCACCACGUGUCAGAGAGAACCUCCCAGCCCCCUCAGUCCACACGUAAGGAACACGAGUAUCCACCUUGAAGAGCAAAAAAAGCCACCCAUUUUGUGCACUUUCUAACAUCUACUUGUUCUCUCUUUUUUUAAAUAUAUAUAUUUUUUAAUAUUUCUGAAUGAUAGUAGUAGCACUAAGAGGUCCCACCAAACUGAUGUUCCAUCACCCUUAGCAGCAAACAAGGGUAUGAGUUUAGUCCCCUGAAGAGACUAUAAACUGUUGCUAUAAGGAGCAGAGGCAGAGAGAGGAAUUCAUUGAUCUGUGCAUGCAGAAGUACAUUGAAUAGAAGUCUCCUGAGUCUCAGGUCAAAGAAUAAACACCAAACCAUUUUUCUCCUCAAGCCUCUUACGUGCUAUUCUGCAAAGUUUAACAUAAAGCUGAACUAUGGCACAAACACUGCUCCGCUGGCCAAAGGCUUGGCAAGCUGCUAUAUUUAUAUACUUGAAAUGAUUGCUAGUAAAAAUCUCAGCAAAUGGCUUUCUUGUUUCCCUUCAUGCAUUUUUUCCUCUGUGGGCAAAAGCUGUUCCUUAAUGUUUCACUUGACUCCCAGGUGUGAAAAAUAACGUGAGAACUCAUUUAAAUACUAAACAGUGCAUUUGCCUAACACAAUACAGGGCAGCAUUGAAUCCCAGGUUAAUUAUCAAAUCAGAACUUAAUCCUCUUGGUUUGAUUCAGUCCAUAAACCCAAGAUUUAUGGUUGUGUUUGUCUUCAGUCGAAGCUUUCACAUUUAUGCCUGCAUGUUCAAGGGUAUUAUAGACUGUUUACAAAGGUGUUGGGUCAAAGCCCUGUUAUCUCUGUUGUAGCACCAUACAGCGUACCUCUCUGGAGGGAACCAAGCAUAUGCAAUCUUAUGAGCUUCAGCUAUGCUUUGUUCUUAGAAUCACGUAAUUGCUCAGGUUGGAAAAGACCUUCAAGAUCAUGAAGUCAACCACAGACAGAAACAGCAUGAUCCAUUUUCCAGGCCCUACAUUCUUGUCGAGUAAUACUUGAUAUAUGCAUAAGGGUGACAGCAGAGCCCAUAGAAGCUGAAGAAAAGAAAGGAAACAGUGGAGAAGAGGAAAGAGAUGCCUGCAAGACCUUGGCUUUAACUCCUCUGCCACAGUAAUGCACCAGAAGGAAAAAAAAAAUUCCUAACCGACUUUCAAAAAAAGCAAGCUUGUCCAGGCUGCCCAAAAAUUUAAACCAGACAGAGGGUAAAAGAAAACCAAUUACAUAGCCUUCACCUAGAGCAGAGUGGGCAGCAAGUUGACCAAUAACGAGCACAAAAAUAUAUGUAUUUGUAGUCAGUAAGAACUGACUUGAGCAGCUAUUCUCAUGCUCUGAAGGCAACAGCAAUUGCACCUGGGGAGCUGCUGGUCUGGGACACACAGGGCACUGCAGGAGCGUUUGGCUCAGUGGCUCUUUAUGCAAACCACUCAUGCACCCCAGCCCUCAGGGUAAGUCCCCUGAGGCUUCCCUGCUCUCUCUCUCUCUCUCUCUCUCUCCACUCAGCCCACUGUUGGGAUAAUAAAGAAGAGGUUUUAAACUUAUGCUCUGGUGAAUCUAUGGUGGGAAGGUUUUUCCGGAAGAGUCAAUUCCUGCACUGCAAGUUGUGGUAUAUUGCAACAUAAAAAGGCAAAGCCUGACAGGAGCUGGAUCACUUAGAGGGAGAGCAGUACCACAAAUCCUUCCUGCGUGCUUCAAUGCAGUUUCAGUAACUUGAAAAGAAGCCAAGGGGUUAAAAUUAACCAGGAACUCCUUUUAGGACUGUGAGGGAUGAUAUGAAAUCCAUAUGCAUGUUAAUAUGCAUGGGGCCUCCUUCUUCUAGCCCUGCUCAAGGUGGAAAAUAGCCACGCUGACCUUGCUGUGCCCAGGUUUAUCAGUGUGAGAGGCCCACACUGAGAAUGGCUAUCACAUCCAGGUUGGCAAGGGAAAUAAAGCAGAGGAGCAGCUAUUCCUGGCUCUGGCUAGGACAGCUUUAGGCACAGGCAAUAGCAGCACUUGAGUUGUCUGCAGAUUCCCCAUGUUUUUGGGAGGCUUCCUGGGCUGGGAUUCUUUGCUGCGAUCAGUCAGGUAUUUGGCAAAAUGCAGAGAGCCAAAAGAAUGCAUUGUAGAGUACCAGCAGACAGCCUGAAACAAAUAAAAGCUAAAAUCUGUCCCUGGGAGAGCAGUGACCUUUUACAGCUGAAGAAUCUGCAGCUGAGAAAGCCAGUGCCUCUGUGCAAGUGAAUGAAGCAGGUCAAUAGCCAGGGUGGAAAUAGGAGUUAAAGUCCUGACCUCUAGGCCUGCCUUUAAUUACCAAUGCACAGCUCCACUGUAGACUUACCUGUUUUAUUUUCUCCUGGCACUGAAGCACUUGUCCCCUCAAACCAUUCUGCUUACACACAGCACCAUUCUCAUACUCUGUUCUUUAUCCAUCACACAUCUGUGCAUACUGCUGUGAGUCAGAGAGGAUUUCUCCUUGCUCUUGCUCAACACUGCUUUCUUAGGUGUGACACCUUGGUGAGUUUGGAGAAGAUGACCUCUGAAUUUAUACAGAAUGGGUUGUGUUGGUUACUGUUUCCCUUGCAGGCUGUGCUGGGUAAUAUUUUCCUCCAGUAUGACUCCCGAGAAUUGCUUUAUAAGGAGGAAAACAAACGGAGAGGGAUGUAAUAAUGAUAAUGUAAUAAAUGGUCAAACGUUCACAUGAAUUCACUGCGGUGCCAACAUGAAGACUAACUAAAACUCAGCUAUCUCUGAGCAAUUAUUUAGUCUAUCGUGGAAAUGUCAUUUUUUUUCAUCAAGUUGCAGAGAGGAGCGACAGACUCUUGCAGCAAGUUUUGAAGAAGGCUGCAAAUAAGUAGGCUUGCUAUGAGCACUGUCUGGAUUGGUAAGAAUCCAAGGGACAGAAGAGAGCAGAGAGUUCUGUGCACGAAAAGAGGCCUAAGGGCAGAAGUGCUCCUUACUAUCCUUUAUGCAAUGGGUGUUAAAUUCAUGCAUAGCAGGAAUCAGCAGAUCAUGGCAGUGUUGUUCUGACAAUGUGCAGUGCAUUCCUGCAGCAGAAACAGAGGGCAGCUGCCAGCACCCUCUUCAGGCAGGCUCACCCCAUCAGCACCACCUGAUUGCAUUAGCUGGCAUAGCCAUUCCCAUAUGAUUACAGGAUGUAGAAAAGCACACAGUGAGAUGACACUAGAUUUUUUGUGUGUUAACCUCUUAACACACUUUGCAUUCAUGUUUGCAGCUCCAAAGUCUGCUUCUAGUCCUGCUCUACUGCUUCACCUCUCCAGCACUGUGAGUCUGGAAACAAGUUAAGGAGCACAAGCAGUCUGUGGUAGCAAUUUUAGUUGUUUCUGCCUUUUACCACUUCAAAGCAAGCGGAAGGUUGGCAGCAUGUGACUACACAAAAAAAAGAAAAGCAUUGCAGCUACCCUAAAGAAAUAGCUCAGGAGCCUCCAAGAUUAUAGAGUGGACUCCUUUCUCACUAUUUCUUUCUCCACAGUGGCUGUUGGGAUUUAGUCUCACUCCUGGAGAGAAAGGCUGCUGCUACAGGAAGAAAAUUAGUCAGUUGACAAUUAGAAGAUUAACCUGCCCAUGCAACCUGUAAUAGCCCUUUACACUUGGUAACAAGCUGACCUUCAGCCACAUCCUGACACAGGAUCUUCUUCUCUUUGCCUUCUUUAGCAUUAGAGUUCACUGCUGGAAGAUGGUGAAAGGGCUCAGCUUAGGAGGUUGGUCACAUCCUUGACCAUAGGAGCUGCAGCAAGGAGAUUCCAAGGAAUGACUGCAUAAACCAGGAUUACACCAGUAACUCUGGUAACCAUUUUUUAACCAACAUAGUAAUAAUUUCAAUUCACCCUCAAAAAAAAAGGCACAGAAAUACUAACUUUUCAAAUAGUUUAUUUGUAUAUAUCAACAAAUCAUAAAAAGCCAAUGCACUGUCCAGCAAAAAGCAUCAAUAUAUAAAACACAUUUAAUCGUUAUCAGUAAUACUUGAGUAUACCACUUACACUGAGCCCAGUCCAGCUCCCUACUAAAGCCAAAGGAAACAUUGUCAAUGACUCCGUUAGCAGAAGGAUUGGACUUGCAAUUUCUAUUUGCCAGGUGUUUACAAAUGCUUGCAUUAAAAUACUAGUAUAAAGUUUCCCCUUUGAGACUGUAUCAAAACAACGAUAAGUUUAACUCCAAUUCUGUUUCUGUCAAAUGCAUGCAAUUAAUGCUCCAGAUCAGCACUCGUUACACUGCAGGAGAGCAUACAAAGCAUGAGAAAGAAUAUUCAAAACAGAGCAAGCUCUACCCUCAGCUUGUGUGGACUGGCAUGGCUCCAACGAGGCUUACAAAGCUAAGCUGCAUACACCAGCUAAAGAUCUGUCCCAAUCCUACUUUCAGCAGUUAAACAAAUUGUCAAAGUCUGGAGACCUCAAAAACAAAUUAUGAAACACUGAGUGGUCCAAGCUAAGGCUGAAACUGGCAUCAGCACUGCCAGCCCAGGCUCUGCCACACUGGACCCCUCACAUCACAGCCUGAAUGCUGAAGUCCCUCACAGGAAGAACACUAACAGUUCUCAUUAUCUAUUUUUAUUCUGACUUACGGCACUCUCCUACCCCCUUUUUGCUAUCCUUGUUCCUGAUAGGAAGAGAUGUGAGAAACAAGGCCUGAUUAGCCUGGUGGCAAUAAAACUCUGUAACGUUUCCAAGAGUGUUUUUAGAGAAGAAAGGAUUCAGGGGAAGGAGAUGUCAGUGGAACUGGAUUAUUUUUCUUUAUAAACCUGCAAAAAAAACCUUUUAGCAGUACACUUCAAAUCAUGAUAUAUUCAUUUCUCAAGAGAGCUGAAAAAGAGCGGUAGUUUUAUUCAGGGAGUAUUUGACAAAAAUCUCUAAUGGCACCAAUUUACUGUGGAUGUGAUCCCACUGCAGUCUUGUGGUCACCGACCAAAAGGGCGGUUUACAUCUCCUAAAAAACACUGGUUUGAGGAGACUGACAGCAGCUUUAGAAGCCAAAUGGUGACCACACCGAGCAGUGAGGAUUUAAAUCAUUGCAGCAGUCUAGAAAGUGGCAAUGGUUAAUUAACAUGAAGAUCCAGUGUGCUACAGGAGGAUGUGUGGUAUCUCAGACACAGACUGUUGCACUUUGCAGUGUUAACAGGAAAAAAGUAAUUCCUUCUGCUGUGGGACUGAGUGGGUGAAGAGCUCUGGACUGUGUUGUGUGGGAUACUAUGACAGAGUAUUUUCAAACAUCUCCCUGCUUUAGAAUCUAUGGAUUAACGUAUCACUCAUCUGAUUCCACCAGGUUGCUUAAGGGAAUCCUGGCAACCAACUUUGGGAAUCUUUUAGAGCAACGUGUCAGCCAAAUCAGGCCUGGUUUGUGUAAAAGGAAGAGUUUGGCACCAAACCUCAGGGAGUCCAAAUGAGAAUAGCAAAAAAAAACUGAAAUGCUUUUUAUUUCUCUAACAAAUGGCAAAGUUUGCCAUAGGAGCUGCAAUUUCUCUUACAUUCAUAAAUACUGUUCAGAAGCUGUACACAAACUGGAGUCAAACAUGCACAGACGUGGGGGGAAAGGAGGGGAAAAUAAGGACUUUCACCACAGGGUCAUAUAUCCACUUGUGUAAGAAAUCACUCAAGAGGGCAACAGCAAUGAUGAAUUUUCAUUCCUACCUCCUGGCAGGGCAUCUCCACCCUCUCUUUACACCAUAGACAUGUGGAAAGGAGGAACAAGAAUACCUCAGACUACAUUUCCACAAUAA